rnacentral:lncRNA from 1 species
AUGGGGAACAUGUUCAUGGGACAUACACGAUGCCCCUGCUUGCAUAUCAUAUAAGGUUAUAAAGUGACAUAACCUAAGAAGGGUAAAACAAAAGUUGUACUUGAUCAGAGUUUUGAGGUAAUAAGUAAUGUAUAGAUUCUUACAUUGAUACCAGAUGACUAUCCGAUUUAUCCAAUCAAGAUAGUUAAAUUAUCAAUUUUAAAGUCUGAGUCUUGGCAAGGACUUAACAAUUGAUAGUUUAACUAUCCAGUUUGUAUAAAUCCGAUAAUCCACAAGUAACUUUGUAAGAAUCUGUUUCUCAAAUGAUUAAAUAAUAAUAAAACGAAAAAUCUCCUUCAAGUGCCUUCCAUAUUUCACAAAAUUGUCAAUUUUAUUAACACCUGUUAAAAUUUUUUUUCAUUAAUAAGCAAAUUAAGGUUAUGACCCUUGAUCUCAUCCAAUCAUCUUCUGAGAUUGAAUGCAACCAUACUUAAUUUUUUUUUUUCAAUGAGUGCAGAAAGGUAUAAAUUGUCAAAGAAUUAGAGAAAAGUUUGUUUUUUCCAUUUGUAAAGGGCUCAACUCUAGAACUGUAUUUGUGAAGCAACUAAAAUUCAAACUUGAUCUGUGUUUUGUGGUAAUUGAAAUUGAGUACAAGUCUCAUAACAUUUUGUUGAGGCAAACUAAAGUUGGAGAAUGGAAACCAACUUUGGGAGGUACGUACAGUUGUACAUACAGACAAGAGUAUGCUACGCUAUUAUCAUAUUAAAAACAAAAAUGAAAUAAAUACAAAUGAUUAGCAUGAUCAGGAGAUAUGAUUCAUAUUUAAUAUUUUGCCGAAAUCUGCAUACAAGCAUAUAGAUAAUUUGGCAUUUGUUGAACAUUUAAUUUCGUGUUUCACUUGUUCCCAUAAAAUCCAUUAAAAUUGGUAUUCAAUGAAUAAUAAUGAAUCCACAGUAUGGGAAUUACAGCUAAUUUUUAAGUUUUUAUAAUAGAUAAAUACAUUACAUGCAAAACAGGGCUUCCAAAACAGUCAUAUAUUCCGGACAUUUGAUUAAUGUCAGGUAAAAGUCCGGUUGGGCAAAGCAUGAAAUGGUCAUAUACAUUUUAGUUUUCAAGGCUUUUUCAGUCAUUUUAACGUAAGUCACGAUCUUUUUGACCCAACUUUU